rnacentral:piRNA from 2 species
UUAUUUCACUUAACAUGAUGGUGUCCAGUUC